GAGUUUGAUCGUGGCUCAGAUUGAACGCUGGCGGCAUGCCUUACACAUGCAAGUCGAACGGCAGCAUGAUCUAGCUUGCUAGAUUGAUGGCGAGUGGCGAACGGGUGAGUAAUACAUCGGAACGUGCCCUGUAGUGGGGGAUAACUAGUCGAAAGAUUAGCUAAUACCGCAUACGACCUGAGGGUGAAAGUGGGGGACCGCAAGGCCUCAUGCUAUAGGAGCGGCCGAUGUCUGAUUAGCUAGUUGGUGGGGUAAAGGCCCACCAAGGCGACGAUCAGUAGCUGGUCUGAGAGGACGAUCAGCCACACUGGGACUGAGACACGGCCCAGACUCCUACGGGAGGCAGCAGUGGGGAAUUUUGGACAAUGGGGGCAACCCUGAUCCAGCAAUGCCGCGUGUGUGAAGAAGGCC
rnacentral:rRNA from 1 species